rnacentral:misc_RNA from 1 species
UCCGGUUUGGCACCGGCAGUCUCCCAUGAGUCCCCGACAUAACUCGCUGGCAACAUGGGAUAGGGGUUGCGCUCGUUGCGCCACUUAAGGCAACACCUCACGGCACGAGCUGACGACAGCCAUGCACCACCUGUGCGGGCUCCGAAGAGCACCUUGUUUCCAAGGGUUCACCCCGCAUGUCAAGCCCAGGUAAGGUUCUUCGCGUUGCGUCGAAUUGAACCACAUGCUCCACCGCUUGUGCGGGCCCCCGUCAAUUCCUUUGAGUUUCAGCCUUGCGGCCGUACUCCCCAGGCGGGGCACUUAAUGCGUUAGCUACGACACUGAAAGGCUUAACCCUCCAACGUCUAGUCCUCAUCGUUUAUGGCGUGGACUAC